rnacentral:piRNA from 1 species
UUUCAGCACAGAACCUAGCCAGCUUACAG